rnacentral:snRNA from 1 species
GCAAGUGAGGACACUGUAUCUGUGAUACUUGCCACAUUGAUUGCUCACCUUGAUUUGACUUGACUGAUGCCCUAGGCUAGGUGUGUGUCCACAUCCUACUCAGUGCUCCACGUGUCUCUUCUGCAGAACUGGGCAUGUGGUGGAGGGUAACAUUCUUGUAGAGAGAAGGACCAUUCUGCAGUCAAGGGUAUGCGAGUAGCCGAGCUCUCUGCUCGAAUCCUCAACAGGCCUUCAGGAGAAUACAUGCGAAGGAAGCCUGGGGAAUCUGUAGCUGGAUUUGAUAGCCUCUUC